UAAAAGUCGUAACAAGGUUUCCGUAGGUGAACCUGCGGAAGGAUCAUUACCGAUUCGAUAUUAGAUAUAGAUUAAUAUUAUUAAUCGAUUUUUAGUAUCACAAACCCAUGUAAACCCACUGUGUGAUGAGAAACUAAAUGUAGCAUGGGCCGAAGCUUUUCCGGUAUGUAUAAUUCUAUUAUAUGUGCGGGGAGAAUGGAAGCCCACGUUUAUUUUUCAACCCCUUUAUAACCAAAACAACUGUGGUCAAAACCUUAAGUCGGGGCAAGCCCUUUGUUGGGACUGCAACGCAAUUAAGAAAACACAACUUUUAACGGUGGAUCUCUAGGCUCGUGCAUCGAUGAAGAACGCAGCUAGAUGCGAUACGUAAUGUGAAUUGCAGAAUUCAGUGAAUCAUCGAAUCUUUGAACGCAAAUUGCGCUUCGGAGCAAUCCGGAGCACUUCUGGUUGAGUGCCACUGUUCUACCUAACAACUCGCGGGCAUGCAAAUGCCAAGCGGAGGUGCGGGGUGCGGUGAAAAGCCGUGCUGUGUGAAGCAAGUGGUAAAGCACACGGUGAGACGAAGGCGUCUGUUGUUUUCGGACAAUGGGCGCGCAUCAUCGGUUAUGUGGUGUGCCAAGAAGCGAGAAGCUAUUAUAGCAGAUUGCGGANAGCGCCAUGUAUCGGGCUGAUGGUGUAGAAAGUCUUGCGGAAGCUGUUGACUCUGGAAACGGAGACGACCAACACUUAUGGCCUCAACUCAGGAGAGACUACCCGCCGAAUUUAAGCAUAUC
rnacentral:rRNA from 1 species